rnacentral:misc_RNA from 1 species
GAUAGAUAGGCACAUAAAUACAAAUAUAGAAUUAGAUAGAUAGACAUAUAUAAAUAUAGAUAGAUAAAUACAGAUAUAAAUAUAGACUAAAAAAUAAGCAUAAAUAUAGAUAUGUAUAGACAUAGGUAGACAGACACAAACAUAAAUAGAUGGACAGGUACAAAUAUAGACACAGACAUGCACUGAUGUAGAUAGACAGAUAAAAACAAAC